UUAAAAGAAUCCUACACUCAUAUCUCUAAACCUUGCACCCAAAAAGAUCCAACACCAUCUAGAAACAAAAAAAAAAUUGUUAAGGGAACCCUAAAACGGCUAUCAGAAUUGUUCACCAGCCACCACCUAGAGGCGGUCGACAUUGCCACUAACACCAGCUCUAGAAGCUCCCAAUUGGACGACUCCCGGAGCCCCAGUACAAAACUUCACUAGAAACUGCCACACUUGCCGGCACAAGCUCUGACAGUUGUUGCCUCUCAUGAAGUCGAACUUCUGCACUGUCGUGUCCUACACUAGCCUCUGAUUUGAAACAGCACCUACAAUUGAGCCGACUACUAAACAACUAUCUCUAUCCAGACUAAAAGCCAGCACUUUGACCCCACGCGUGCGCACCCAUGAGUGGACCUUUUUGUAUUGUACUAUGUUUUGACUUUUGAACCGUGUCUGACCAGAUUGGUUCCCUUUGAUUAACUUAUCCCCUCCCAGACCAGUUUUCAACAGUUUAAAAGGAGUAUUUUUGUCUACUCUUCUUAUUUUGUAGUCUCCUUUGAUUUGUGAUAGAACAAGUUCAAAACAUGCAGAGUUGUGAAGACAAGAAUGAGUAAUAAUUUAAAGAUGAUUUUUUAAAAAUAAUAAUAGUAUAAUAUUGAU
rnacentral:lncRNA from 1 species